ensembl:lncRNA
CGAAUUUCCACUUUUUCUAUAGGUUUCAAUUUAGCCAGCUAUUGCUUCUUUGCAGUGCAGAGCUCCAUAGAAAGCCAGGAAGCCCCAGAGAAGUCAGGUGCGGGGCCAUGUAACAGCUGUUUAGUGACUACUACCAUCAGAGAUACAGUCCUUUAUUCAGUGCAGCCAUAGACACGACUCUACCAGGACUUUAGUUUCAUAGCUGGCACACAAGAUUGGAGCAAGAGCAAGGGAUCAGCAGAGGAUGAUACAGGCUGACAUUUACUCAGUAAUUUUCAGCCAAAGAUCAGGGAGUACAAACCGAUUAUGUUGGUAACCACUGAACCUGUCACUGAAACGUAAUCGGGGAUCCUCCAUUUGCAUACCCCUCGUUUCACCCUCAAGCUGAGGACACCAAAACCCAAAGAGAUGUUUAUCAGCGUUUGGCAACAGCAGUAUUUUAGGGUAGCAACUUGAGGGUCAACACCCACCACCUCCCCCUGGCAUAUCAGAUGCUGAAGCAGAUAGGUCCAUGCUCCUGCAAACAAGCUGAUGCCUGGUGCUACCUGUAUGGACAGACUGGUCAGAUCUAAUUGAACUGCUUGGGUACACAUGGAAAAUUUUGCAGGAUCAAUGCCCAUGUACCAAGAUUUGAAUGCAUUUCUGGAUGUUGCUAAGCAACUCUGUACAUUUGUAGCAUGGAUAUGCCAUCACUGCUAAUGGACACGGUAUCUCCUGGCUCCAUCACACAAGGCUGCUUUGCAGAAGAAUAAAUACAAUUUUCAUCUCUGACUGGGUUUUCACAUAUCCAUACAAAUUCAUAAAAACAUGUAUUUUUAUACAUUUACAAUUCUUUUCUGAUUCCACUGUAAGCAAAAGGAAGAUGCUUAACACCAUCUUUAAAGGGGGAGCAGCAGCCUAAGGCAGCGCUCAAGAGAUAAUGUUGUGCACUACUGCAUAGUUACAGUCUUUUGGGAACACCGUGGCAAGUCCUUCUGAAAAACCUGCAGCCUAAGCAGCCCACAGCCCCAACGUGGGAUUCGCAAAUACAGCUCAGUCACGCCAGGAUUCAGCUCACUCCCAGCAAGAGAGAGAUGCUGCAGGCAGAGUCCCAUCCUCACAUGCAUCUGCAGAGCACUUUCAGGGAUACACAGUUGUAAUUCUGGCCAAAAUCUGCCCCUGCAAUUGAACAUUGGUAAUUUGUCCACCACCUCUAUUCCCUCAGUUGUAAUUCAAUAUCUGCAUUACAGAAACAGAUGAGAGAAUUAUAUUUAUGCAACGUGUACUUCCUAACCCUGCAUUCACCGAUGAUAUACAAAAGACAAGUGUCUUUGGAAAGGUUUAGGGCACCAGACCAUUCCAGCACCUUCUCCAGCUCUGCUGGCACCUGCCAUUCCCACAGGUCAUACAGAAGUCUGCUCCUAAAGGUGUUGUCCCCCAGCAGGACACAGGGCAGGGAUUGACUUUGCAGUGAAUCUUUGCCAGAUGGACCCAUCGCAUUCCACUCAACACUGGGCAUCUACCACUAAAGGAAAACACCUGCAUUAAGGGCUACAGCAACACACAUGGUGAUCAGUAAAGUGCAUCCCUCUGGAGAGAGAGCUCUGUCUGCUUGAAUUAAGGUUCACUUCACAGCCAGGUCCUGUUUCAUUUUAUUACAAAGGCUUGAAACCAGGCACAGAAUAAAAUAUUUCAGUAAGCACGCUUUCUGUCCUCAAAGUGCUCAGAUGUUUCUUGUAUUUUAUAGAGUGUAAUUUUGUGCAUGAAAUGAAAAGUAGCAGCAAUGAAUUCAGGGCGUUAUUUAAGUAUUAUUGGGGAGAGGUGAACUAUAUUUUCUUCUAACAACUGGAGCUAGGUAGAAAAAGUGAAUUAAGUGCAUCCUAUGCAAAUUUUUGGUAGAAGUUACUUGCUUCUAGCCUCUCUCCCCUUAUCCCUCCCCCCCCUCCCCCCCCCCCCCCAAAAAAAAAAACAGCAACAAAUGCAGAG